GAUGAACGCUGGCGGCGUGCCUAAUACAUGCAAGUCGAGCGGUAAGGCCCUUCGGGGUACACGAGCGGCGGACGGCUGAGUAACACGUAGGAACGUACCCCAAAGUGAGGGAUAAGCACCAGAAAUGGUGUCUAAUACCGCAUGUGCCCCAUGGAGUCAAGCUUUAUGCGCUUUGGGAACGGCCUGCGUCCGAUUAGCUAGUUGGCGGUUUAAUAGACCACCAAGGCAACGAUCGGUAGCUGGUCUGAGAGGAUGAUCAGCCAGACUGGGACUGAGACACGGCCCAGACUCCUACGGGAGGCAGCAGUAGGGAAUUUUCCACAAUGGGCGAAAGCCUGAUGGAGCAACGCCGCGUGCAGGAUGAAUGCCUUCGGGUUGUAAACUGCUUUUAUUGGUGACGAUUAUGACGGUAACCAAUGAAUAAGGACCUGCUAACUACGUGCCAGCCGCCGCCGUAA
rnacentral:rRNA from 1 species